rnacentral:rRNA from 1 species
UCCUACGGGGGGGCAGCAGUAGGGAAUCUUCCGCAAUGGACGAAAGUCUGACGGAGCAACGCCGCGUGAGUGAUGAAGGUUUUCGGAUCGUAAAACUCUGUUGUUAGGGAAGAACAAGUACCGUUCGAAUAGGGCGGUACCUUGACGGUACCUAACCAGAAAGCCACGGCUAACUACGUGCCAGCAGCCGCGGUAAUACGUAGGUGGCAAGCGUUGUCCGGAAUUAUUGGGCGUAAAGCGCGCGCAGGCGGUUUCUUAAGUCUGAUGUGAAAGCCCCCGGCUCAACCGGGGAGGGUCAUUGGAAACUGGGGAACUUGAGUGCAGAAGAGGAGAGUGGAAUUCCACGUGUAGCGGUUCUUUUAAAGAGAUGUGGAGGAACACCAGUGGCGAAAGGCGACUUCUCUGGUCCUGUAACUGACGGCUGAGGCCCCAAAAAAGCCA